rnacentral:lncRNA from 1 species
GUUAAUGAUUUCGAGUUAAGUAUAUCCAUCAUUUUUACAUGAGAGAAUGGCUUCCUCCCAAAUAUGCUUUUAUUUGUUGACUACCAGUGGUUGUGAAGUGUACUUAACGGAACAUAUGAUCAGGUUUAAGAAACUGAUAUGUUAGUUUCCAUUUUUCUUAACAGCAGAUCUUUUAGAACCUUUAUUUAAGGAGGUUACUUAUACUUCAUUCUUUCAUUUUUCUUUUUAUCAAGUUCUUUUCGAAUGUUGAAAUGGAACAAUAACCAGUUAAAAAGUAGGAGGAGAAAAAGUGCAAGUAUGAAGCGGCAAGGCUUCUAACAUAUUUUGAUAGGCCGAUGUUCUAAAUAGAUGUGAACUGCA